CCUACGGGAGGCAGCAGUGGGGAAUAUUGCACAAUGGGCGCAAGCCUGAUGCAGCGACGCCGCGUGAGGGAUGACGGCCUUCGGGUUGUAAACCUCUUUCAGCAGGGACGAAGCGCAAGUGACGGUACCUGUAGAANGAAGGACCGGCCAACUACGUGCCAGCAGCCGCGGNUAAU
rnacentral:rRNA from 1 species